GCUUCAGCUGUGGGGACACAGAGGACAGGACGCGGUGAUCAUCUCCACCAUGGCCUGGUCCCCUCUCCUCCUCACCCUCCUCGCUUACUGCACAGGCUCCUGGGCCCAGUCUGUGCUGACCCAGCCGUCCUCCGUGUCUGGGGCCCCGGGACAGAGUGUCACCAUCUCCUGCACUGGAAGCAGCUCCAACAUCGGGGGUAGAUAUGUGAGCUGGUACCAACAGCUCCCGGGAACGGCCCCCAAAACUCUCAUCUAUGAUAAUAACCAACGACCCUCAGGGGUCCCCAACCGAUUCUCUGGCUCCAAGUCUGGCACCUCAGCCGCCCUGACCAUCAGUGGGCUCCAGGCUGCAGAUGAAGCCGAUUAUUACUGCUCAGCAUGGGACAAUAGUCUCAAUACUCGCACAGUGCUCCAGGCCUGUGGGGAA